CCAGAGAACUUUCCAGAGAUGGAUUGGUGCCCUUCGGGAACUCUGAGACAGGUGCUGCAUGGCUGUCGUCAGCUCGUGUUGUGAAAUGUUGGGUUAAGUCCCGCAACGAGCGCAACCCUUAUCCUUUGUUGCCAGCGGUUAGGCCGGGAACUCAAAGGAGACUGCCAGUGAUAAACUGGAGGAAGGUGGGGAUGACGUCAAGUCAUCAUGGCCCUUACGAGUAGGGCUACACACGUGCUACAAUGGCGCAUACAAAGAGAAGCGACCUCGCGAGAGCAAGCGGACCUCAUAAAGUGCGUCGUAGUCCGGAUUGGAGUCUGCAACUCGACUCCAUGAAGUCGGAAUCGCUAGUAAUCGUGGAUCAGAAUGCCACGGUGAAUACGUUCCCGGGCCUUGUACACACCGCCCGUCACACCAUGGGAGUGGGUUGCAAAAGAAGUAGGUAGCUUAACCUUCGGGAGGGCGCUUACCACUUUGUGAUUCAUGACUGGGGUGAAGUCGUAACAAGGUAGGCGUAGAUGA
rnacentral:rRNA from 1 species